rnacentral:rRNA from 1 species
GAUGAACGCUGGCGGCGUGCCUAAUACAUGCAAGUCGAGCGAACGGACGAGAAGCUUGCUUCUCUGAUGUUAGCGGCGGACGGGUGAGUAACACGUGGAUAACCUACCUAUAAGACUGGGAUAACUUCGGGAAACCGUAGCUAAUACCGGAUAAUAUUUUGAACCGCAUGGUUCAAAAGUGAAAGACGGUCUUGCUGUCACUUAUAGAUGGAUCCGCGCUGCAUUAGCUAGUUGGUAAGGUAACGGCUUACCAAGGCAACGAUGCAUAGCCGACGUGUGAGGGUGAUCGGCCACACUGGAACUGAGACACGGUCCAUACGCCUACGGGAGGCAGCAGUAGGGAAUCUUCCGCAAUGGGCGAAAGCCUGACGGAGCGACGGCGCGUGAGUGAUGAAGGUCUUCGGAUCGUAAAACUCUGUUAUGAGGGAAGAACAUAUGUGUAAGUAACUGUGCACAUCUUGACGGUACCUAAUCAGAAAGCCACGGCUAACUACGUG